UCGGCCUCCCAAAGUGCCAGGAUUACAGGCGUGAGCCUCCCGGCCUGGCCCUGUUCUUUUAAAAAUAGCCGAUCUAACUUCACACUACUACCAAAAGCCAGAUCUGUCCCCAAGCUCUUUCUUCCCACAUCUCCCCUACCUGCUUGAAAGGGGGUGUUAAGACCUCCUCCACACCUGAGCGCCCCCACCCUGUGGCCGCCACCACCAGAACCACCAUCAACUCUGGAGGCCGAUCUGAGGAGAGAAGAGAAGCCAACAACCCCGCAGGAUGAGAGAGCAAUCUCUUUUGUAUCACAGACCCUCCGGAGCAGUUGCGGGAGGGCUGGCUGGGUGCAUGGAAGUAUUUAGCAGGUUCAGUGCCAUUACUGCCUAACAGGGUGUGAAAAGUAAUAUGAAUGUGAAAUACUGUGGGAAAACGGAGAGUUUCCAAAGCAGGCAGCGAGGCCCCUCCGCUGGUGGGCCUGGAAGGCCAGAAUCCCUGCUGCCCCGAGUGCGGCUCCCGGAGGCGCUGCUACUGGCCGAGGACUGCAGAGGGAAUGUCGGGGAGGGGGAGAUGGAUGGAGGGUGAGAUGGGUGGAGGGUGCAGUCCGCCCUGAGAAGAGAGGGAGGGGCAAGCUGGCAGUGCCUGGGAAAAGCCCGAGAAAAGCCCUGUCGGCUCCCUCUUCCUGGCUGCUAAAGUUGACACAAGACGGCUUCUUGGAACUCCCCCUCCUCCCGCCUAAAUGUACAGAGCAAGACUUGAAGUCAAAAGAUAGAUAGCGAUCGUGCUGAAAGUCAGGUGGAAAACAAGACUGCUAAUUUUAUGAAACAACCUAUCAACCCACUGGGAAGAGAUGACAAGAGGUACAUGGGCGCUUCUGCAGGAGGUGGAGGUGGAGGUGAAAUGCCGAGGUUCUAGACUGAUGUAAAUUUCUCCAACUAACUCCAGAUCGAGAGCCUACAAAUCCGACAAAUAUGCCCACACUUUGACAGUAACCGCCUCCCAGCACGCCCCACCACCGCCAACACACAUGGAGGGGUUUGAACUUUUCCACCUUCCGGACCUCUGCAGUCCGUCGCAGGACGCCCAAACCACAGGCCGGACACAGAUGAAGCCAGACCACAGCCCCCGCCCCAGCCACCGCGGUAGGUGGGUGCCCAAGAGACUUCUCAGGCCUAAGGAAAGCAGCCGAUGGCUCCCAAGACAACUCUGUCCGGCCAGUACUCCAGGGCAACUUCAACCCCACUAGGACCCAGGCCAAAACCAUAUAUAUAUAUAUAUAUAUAUAAAUUAACGCAAAACAGAGCCACUUUGGUGCCUACCCCUCCACAAGUAGGUAGGCACAUCCAGGUAGCUCUGUCAGAAGAUGGGACCUGGCGCCUUGCAGGGGUAGCCCUAUGGAGAUCCAGAAGCCCCGUUUCGAGCUACGAAGUCUCUCUUCUACUGCAGUCUUCUCUCCAACGUGGAGAUCUAGCAACUUCCCUCCCCCUGGGAUUCCCUGUGAAUCCACUCUAGUUGGGAUAUAGCCUCUCUACAGCUCAGUGACGUAGCGCGCCAAAACCAAGUACCCACCCCGGCAACUGGAAGACCUAGCUGUCCUCCAUCCCGCCUCCGCAGUCGAUAAUCUCCAGGAUCCAAGCAAAGUGCCUGUCCACGUUGUCACCAGAUCCACAAGCGCUUUUGAUGAGAGCUGCUACCCUUUUGGAAACACGAUUCCCUCUCCCUAGUAGAGAAGAAUCUAUUCUUCUGGGCUGGCGUAGACAAAGAAUAACCAAGAUAAAGUAUGUGGUGUGAAAAUAUCAGCUGCCUCUUCUUUUUUUGUUUUUGAAACGGAGUCUCGCUCUGUCUCCUAGGGUGGAGUGCAGUGGCACUAUCUCUGCUCACUGCAACUUCCGCCUCCUGGAUUCAAGCGAUUCUCCUACCUCAGCCUCUGGAGUAGCUGGGACUAUAGGCGCCCGCCACCACGCCCGGCUAAUUUUUUGUAUAUUUAGUAGAGACGGGGUGGGGGGGUGUUUCACCAUGUUGGCCAGGCUGGUCACGAACUCCUGACCUCAAAUGAUCGGCCCACCUCGACCUCCCAAAGUGCUGGGAUUACAGGCGUGAGCCACCGCGCGCCGGGUGGAAAACAUUAGCUUCUAAUAGCAGUCUUGGAGUGGAGUGAAGACGUUCAGGAAGUGGUGGAGAUAGGCCUGCUCAAUUAACCGGCCCCAGAUAUCAUUUCUCUGGCUACCUCUUUUCUCGCCUGGCCUGGCCCUCUAUACCGUUUUUUGUUUGUUUGUUUUGUUUUGUUUUUUUUCUGCAAAACGUUUUCUGCUGCAACUUUCUCUUUAUUUAUGCCUUUAUCUUUCUUAAACAAGAGGUCCCUGGAAAUAACUAACUAAGGAGGGGAGAGGAACCCCCUCACCCCCAAUUUCAUGAAUGAGUGCUACAUUCAUGCUGGCCGGGUACCAAGAGCAUCUUUAGAUCUUUAGACCUGAGUCUUCUCAUCUGUGAAAAAGAGGUUAAAGCAGAUGAACCCUAAAGGCCCAUUUCCAGUCUUAAAUUCAACACUUUCAAGACAAAACUUUUCUUCUGUAUUCCUGAGUGUGUAUAUAUAUGUUAUGUAAUAUAUAUUAUAAUGUAUAUAUAUAAA
rnacentral:lncRNA from 1 species